rnacentral:tRNA from 1 species
GCCUCGUUAGCGCAGUAGGCAGCGCGUAAGUCUCAUAAUCUUAAGGUCGUGAGUUCGAUCCUCACCCGGGGCA